CCCGUACUUGGUGUUACUGCGAAGGGGGGACGGAGAAGGCUAUGUUGGCCGGGCGACGGUUGUCCCGGUUUAAGCGUGUAGGCUGGUUUUCCAGGCAAAUCCGGUUCACUUUAAAACUGAGGCGUGAUGACGAGGCACUACGGUGCUGAAGCAACAAAUGCCCUGCUUCCAGGAAAAGCCUCUAAGCAUCAGGUAACAUCAAAUCGUACCCCAAACCGACACAGGUGGUCAGGUAGAGAAUACCAAGGCGCUUGA
rnacentral:rRNA from 1 species